rnacentral:rRNA from 1 species
AGUGAACGCUGGCGGUAGGCCUAACACAUGCAAGUCGAACGGCAGCACAGUAAGAGCUUGCUCUUACGGGUGGCGAGUGGCGGACGGGUGAGGAAUACAUCGGAAUCUACUUUUUCGUGGGGGAUAACGUAGGGAAACUUACGCUAAUACCGCAUACGACCUACGGGUGAAAGCAGGGGAUCUUCGGACCUUGCGCGAUUGAAUGAGCCGAUGUCGGAUUAGCUAGUUGGCGGGGUAAAGGCCCACCAAGGCGACGAUCCGUAGCUGGUCUGAGAGGAUGAUCAGCCACACUGGAACUGGGACACGGUCCAGACUCCUACGGGAGGCAGCAGUGUGGAAUAUUGGACAAUGGGCGCAAGCCUGAUCCAGCCAUACCGCGUGGGUGAAGAAGGCCUUCGGGUUGUAAAGCCCUUUUGUUGGGAAAGAAAAGCAGCAGGUUAAUACCCCGCUGUUCUGACGGUACCCAAAGAAUAAGCACCGGCUAACUUCGUG